GGGGAGGAGCGGGAAGGCCGAGGAAGCGCAGGAGACGGUGGGAGGCCUGCUCUGGGCAGGUUGGGCACCAGGUCCAGGGAGCUAGGCUUGGCCGGGGAGGCAGCACGAGGUGCCGCAGCAGACUGGCUUCCUCUGAGUACCCCUCCAUGAUGUGGCCAGGGACCCCUCGGCUGGGGCUUUGGGAGCUGGAGUGCUUUGGAGAGCCUGGCUUCGAUGGAGAGAAUCAGCGGUCAUGAAGAUACAAGGGUGAAGCUGAUUGGCUGUCCAGAAUAGCCUGUCUGUCCCUUUGGACUGCCCUGGAAGGUUGUAACACAGCACUUCUCCAAAUGAGUCAUGCCUCCAACUACAUCUCCCAUGGUCCCUCUGGCCACUGACCGCUCUCACCCCCUGAGAGUGUUUUACAUCAACUC
rnacentral:lncRNA from 1 species